AGCAGCCGCGGUAAUUCCAGCUCCAAUAGCGUAUAUUAAAGUUGUUGCAGUUAAAAAGCUCGUAGUUGAAUUUCGGGGUCAGUAGGCCGGUCGUGCCUAUGGUAUGUACUGGCUUUAUUGAUUCCUCCUUCUUGAAGAACUGUAAUGUCAUUAAUUUGGUGUUGCAGGGAAACAGGACUGUUACUUUGAAAAAAUUAGAGUGUUUAAAGCAGGCUAACGCUUGAAUACAUUAGCAUGGAAUAAUGAAAUAGGACGUUUGAUCCUAUUUUGUUGGUUUCUAGGAUUGACGUAAUGAUUAAUAGGGAUAGUUGGGGGCAUUAGUAUUCAAUUGUCAGAGGUGAAAUUCUUGGAUUUAUUGAAGACUAACUACUGCGAAAGCAUUUGCCAAGGAUGUUUUCAUUAAUCAAGAACGAAAGUUAGGGGAUCGAAGACGAUCAGAUACCGUCGUAG
rnacentral:rRNA from 1 species